UACGAAGGGGGCGAGCGUUGUUCGGAUUUACUGGGCGUAAAGGGCGCGCAGGCGGCUCAUUUUGUCAGGCGUGAAAGCCCCGGGCUUAACCUGGGAACUGCGCUUGAGACGGGUGGGCUAGAGAUCGGGAGAGGAGAGUGGAAUUCCCAGUGUAGAGGUGAAAUUCGUAGAUAUUGGGAAGAACACCGGUGGCGAAGGCGGCUAUCUGGACCGACAUUGACGCUGAGGCGCGAAAGCGUGGGGAGCAAACAGGG
rnacentral:rRNA from 1 species